rnacentral:tRNA from 1 species
GUCUCUGUGGCGCAAUUGGUUAGCGCGUUCGGCUGUUAACCGAAAGGUUGUUGGUUCGAGUCCAACCAGGGACG